rnacentral:rRNA from 1 species
AUUGAACGCUGGCGGCAUGCCUUACACAUGCAAGUCGAACGGCAGCACGGACUUCGGUCUGGUGGCGAGUGGCGAACGGGUGAGUAAUGCAUCGGAACGUGCCAUUGAGUGGGGGAUAACGUAGCGAAAGUUGCGCUAAUACCGCAUAUUCUGUGAGCAGGAAAGCAGGGGACCGCAAGGCCUUGCGCUCUUUGAGCGGCCGAUGUCAGAUUAGCUAGUUGGUGAGGUAAAGGCUUACCAAGGCGACGAUCUGUAGCGGGUCUGAGAGGAUGAUCCGCCACACUGGAACUGAGACACGGUCCAGACUCCUACGGGAGGCAGCAGUGGGGAAUUUUGGACAAUGGGGGCAACCCUGAUCCAGCCAUGCCGCGUGAGUGAAGAAGG